CAGAGGGGAAACCUUUCUGGUGCAAAGCAGAGGACAUCAAUUAGAUUGCAGUACACAGCUUUUUGUUUGGAGGAAAUUUCUCUUAUGAGAUUCUACCUGCUGCGAGAGAACCCAGGAUCAGCAAUCAUCAAAUACAGACAAUGGAUUUCAGGAAGGCGGAUUUUGGACCUUGAGCAAUAAAGACAUCAGGGAUUAAGUGUAUAGCAAUACAUAAGGCCAAGGAAUGAUUACGGCAUAUCCCAUCGAGUUGCAGUGAUGCCCUCCCUUCAAGCAGAAUUAUCUGCAUUUCUAAUUGGACAGCAUGCAAAGAGAUCUGUCUCCAGAUGACUCCAGAUGGGAAACUGGAGCAUGGAUAAGUGAAGUGAUUCGCCCAGGCCUGGUCUACACUACGAGUUUAGGUCGAAUUUAGCAGCGUUAAAUCAAAUUAA